UCCAUGGUGGCCUAGUGGUUAAGGAUCCAGCAUUGUCACUGCUGUGGUGCAGGUUCAAUCCCUGGCCCAGGAA
rnacentral:tRNA from 1 species